CUGACACGCUUAGACGAUUACAAUCGCUAAGCAGGACCACUGCUUAGUCGACAGACUCGACUAAGCACCGUAGUCUCAUGGUCUAGCCUACGCGCUUAGCGACAAAAUCACAUCAACCUACAGCGGAUCUAGAGCGGCAGGAGCCGCGAAGCCUCACGGGAUCGGGGUCCGGGUCACCGCAGCGGCCAGGUCACGGCCCGGCAUACAGCCGACCGUUCUGUACACAGUACGUCUGGAAACUUCGCUACGCCACGCAUAUAUACUUCUACGUCAACUAUUUUACAGGUGUCAAGAAUCAACAUGUGGCUGGCAUAUUGUCUUCAAAAUGCAGAGCCUAUCAGGACAACCUAUUAACUGGACCAUAUAAUGCAUACCUAUGUAAGAGUGCUGUACAACCAGCCACUGUCUUAGAGGAAUGCUUUUUUUGCCAUAUAUUUCCUCAAUGCAUAAAGGAAUAUCAGCUGUACUCCAUUAGUUAUGAUUAGUUAGUUCACAUAGAAACAUAAUGACAAUGCAGAACAUCUAGGUUUAGAAACAGCAUGAUAUCAUUCCUUGUUGAACUACUGAAUGGCUAAUCUUCCCGGUCUUCUAUAUAUAUUUAUGGUAACCAUUUGUAGAUAACGUUUCUUUUACUUGUCAAGUAUGCUUGUCAAUUCAGUGAUUGUAGCUGUAAUGGCAUAUUAUUAUUCAUUUUAUUGAAAUAAACCUGUUAUU